GAACGAGGUACGGUGUCGUCACAGGUCGGUCGUCGUCAGCUCGUGCCGUGAGGUGUUGGGUUAAGUCCCGCAACGAGCGCAACCCCUAUUCUCAGUCGCCAGCACAUAAUGGGUGGGCACUCUGUGGAGACUGCCCGGGUUAACCGGGAGGAAGGGUGGGGAUGACGCCAAGUCAUCAUGGCCCUUACGCCUAGGGCUACACACGUACUACAAUGGUGGGUACAAAGGGCAGCGAAACCGCGAGGUCGAGCGAAUCUCAAAAAACCCAUCAUAGUCCGGAUUGCAGUCUGCAACUCGACUGCAUGAAGUUGGAAUCGCUAGUAAUCCCGGAUCAGCAUGCCGGGGUGAAUACGUUCCCGGGCCUU
rnacentral:rRNA from 1 species